rnacentral:rRNA from 1 species
CUUAUUCUCCAAGCUAUUUACACUUGGCAAAGCCCAUGUAGUACAUGAGCACUUGGGGUUCCCUUAUCACACUUUCGUGCAUUGUAAAGUUUUCGCGCCUGCUGCGCCCCGUGGGGCGGGGGCGGCGGGACGGGCGCGGGG